rnacentral:lncRNA from 1 species
UUGGAAUAAGUCAUUUUGAUGAUAUGAUCAAAUUGUUUGAUCAGAUAUAAGAAAUUAUGAUUUUCAAAAGGAUCAGUGGGAGUGUCCAAAACUGAUAUCGGAUUAAAAUAUGGUUGAAUAUAAAUUUUUUCAUGAAAGACAUAAAGUAGGCAUCCUAAAGAUCUAUAAAGAUCGAUGCAACUGGAUGCUUGUGUUUUCACAGUUAAAGCACAG